CUUUUUGUGCCUCGUCCUUUCACAAAAGGACAUAGUGCAUGACACUAGAUGGGUUCUCACAGACUUAUGUUAUCUCACUUUUGGUGGCAAACAGAACUAAGUUCUUCUUGUCGCUCAUCGUGGAGGCACUCAUUUUGGUCUUGUGUCGCUCACUCUCUUUUUGGUGGUUCGCUCUCUCACUAUUCUCUCCUUGAUGGGUGGUUUACCUGUCGGCGAUCACUUGGCUUGGAGACAUAGGUCGAAGGACGUAAUCCUUUCAUUUCAUCUUGAAGAUAUAGUGAUUCGUUCAGCCGUUGUGGAUGACACCUCGAUCAAAUUUCCAUGGUCGUCCAAGAAGAAGGUGGCAAACGGUCAUCGGAACGACAUUACACUCCAAAGUGUCUUCGUAAGCUCUGAUUUUGAAGGAGAUUCGCACUCUAUGCUCGACUUGGAUAGUGCCGGAGUCGCUAAGCCAUUGAACUUUUUAGGGAUGUGGGUGCUUCAUCUUGUCCAAUUGGAGCUUGGAGCAUAGUUCUUCACUUGCUAAGUUAUGGCAACUCCCUCCAUUGGUGAUGACCUUGACGGACCUUCCAUUGAUGCUGGACUUGGUAUGAAAGAUAUGGCAUUGCACGGGUGCCCGCACAAGCAGUGGAGCAUGUGGUUUAAUUCGAUGCAAAGCGAAGAACCUUACCAGGGCUUGACAUGCCGCGAAUCCUCUUGAAAGAGAGGGGUGCCCUCGGGAAUGCGGACACAGGUGGUGCGUGGCUGUCGUCAGCUCGUGUCGUAAAGUGUUGGUUUAAGUCUCGCGACGAGCGCAACCCUCGUGUUUAGUUGCCACUAUGAGUUUGGAACCCUGAACAGACCGCUUGUGUUAAGCCGGAGGCAAGAGAGGAUGAGGCCAAGUCAUCAUGCCCCUUAUGCCUUGGGCGACACACGUGCUACAAUUGGCGGGACAAAGGGUCACAAUCUCUCGAGGGUGAGAUAACUCCAAAAACUCGUCCUCAGUUCGGAUUGCAGGCUGUAACUCGCCUGCAUGAAGCAGGAGUCGCUAGUAAUCGCCGGUUAGCUAUACAGCGGUGAAUCCAUUCCCGGGCCUUGUACACACUGCCCGUCAUACUAUAGGAGUUGGCCAUGUUUGAAGUCAUUACCCUUAACCGUAUGGAGGGGGUGCCUAAAUCUAGGCUUCCGACUGGAGUGAAGUCAUAACAAGGUAGCCGUACUGGAAGGACCAGCUG
rnacentral:rRNA from 1 species